UGCCUAAGUCCUGUUAGGAUAUGGCAAAAAAAACCCAACCACGGCGGUAAGCUCCUCAUCGAGCACUCGUGGUUGGGUCAUACGGGGAAACCUGUAUGGGUGGUCUGAAAAGAUUGCC
rnacentral:sRNA from 1 species